rnacentral:rRNA from 1 species
CCUACGGGAGGCAGCAGUGAGGAAUAUUGGUCAAUGGGCGCGAGCCUGAACCAGCCAAGUAGCGUGAAGGAUGACUGCCCUACGGGUUGUAAACUUCUUUUAUAAAGGAAUAAAGUGAGGCACGUGUGCCUUUUUGUCUGUCUUUUAUGAAUAAGGAUCGGCUAACUCCGUGCCAGCGGCCGCGGUAAUACGGAGGAUCCGAGCGUUAUCCGGAUUUAUUGGGUUUAAAGGGAGCGUAGAUGGGUUGUUAAGUCAGUUGUGAGAGUUUGCGGCUAAACCGUAAAAUUGCAAUUGAUACUGGCAGCCUUGAGUACAGUUGAGGUAGGCGGAAUUCGUGGUGUAGCGGUGAAAUGCUUAGAUAUCACGAAGAACUCCGAUUGCGAAGGCAGCCUACUAAACUGCCACUGACAUUGAUGCUCGAAAGUGUGGGUAUCAAACAGGAUUAGAUACCCUAGUAGUC